AGUUUAUGAACUUGAUAUAAGUAUAUGUUUUGAAAACAUAAUAUAGAAAUAAAAUUUUCUAUAAACUU
rnacentral:tRNA from 1 species